rnacentral:tRNA from 1 species
ACCGGCUUAGAGCAGUGGUAGCUCGCUGGCCUCCGAAGCCAGAAGUCGGCGGUUCGAAUCCGUCAGUCGGUU